rnacentral:rRNA from 1 species
AUUGAACGCUGGCGGCAUGCCUUACACAUGCAAGUCGAACGGUAACGCGGGGCAACCUGGCGACGAGUGGCGAACGGGUGAGUAAUACAUCGGAACGUGCCCAGUAGUGGGGGAUAGCCCGGCGAAAGCCGGAUUAAUACCGCAUACGACCUACGGGUGAAAGCAGGGGAUCGCAAGACCUUGCGCUAUUGGAGCGGCCGAUGUCAGAUUAGGUUGUUGGUGGGGUAAAAGCCUACCAAGCCGACGAUCUGUAGCUGGUCUGAGAGGACGACCAGCCACACUGGGACUGAGACACGGCCCAGACUCCUACGGGAGGCAGCAGUGGGGAAUUUUGGACAAUGGGCGCAAGCCUGAUCCAGCCAUGCCGCGUGCGGGAAGAAGGCC